rnacentral:rRNA from 1 species
UACGUAGGGUGCGAGCGUUAAUCGGAAUUACUGGGCGUAAAGCGUGCGCAGGCGGUUAUGUAAGACAGGUGUGAAAUCCCCGGGCUUAACCUGGGAACUGCAUUUGUGACUGCAUAGCUAGAGUACGGUAGAGGGGGGUGGAAUUCCACGUGCAGGCAGUGAAAUGCGUAGAUAUGAUGGAGGAACACCGAUGGCGGAAGGCAGCCCCCUGGGCUAGUACUAACGCCUCAUGCACGAAAGCGUGGGGAGCAACAGG